rnacentral:lncRNA from 1 species
AUAAGACAUUUUGAGAGAGAGCAAGCACAGUCAUAUAACUUUGAUAUAGUAUAUUGUAAUUGUUUUAUUAUUAGUUAUUAUUUUUCAUCUCUCACUCUCUUUUUUUGGUACUGGAGAUUGAACUCAGGGGCACUUGACCACUGAGCCACAUCCUCAGACCUAUUUUUUAUUUUUAUUUUAGAAAAAGGGUCUCACUGAGUUGCCUAGCACUUCACUUUUGCUGAAGCUGGCUUUGAACUCGUGAUCCUCCUACCUCAGCCUCCUGAGGUACUGGGAUUACAGGUGUGCACCACCACACCAAGCUUAUUUUAAUCUCUUACCCUGCCUAAUUUAUAAGUAAAACUAUCAAGGCUAUGUAUGUAUAAGAAAAAAAUAUCACAAAUAUAGAACUUCGUACUAUGUGUGGUUUCAUGUACACACGGGUGUUUUUGGAUGUAUUCCCUGAGGAUAAGGGAGAACUAUUGUAAAUGCAUUUUAUUAGGAGAUAAAUGCUAGAGAGAAAAAUAGAGCAGGGAAUGGGGAUGGAGGAUAUUGGAUAAGUAUUGCAACUUAAAAUGGGAUGACUUGGCCCAUGGUUAGGGAAAGUCGGUAAAAGUGACUUUUUAGAAAAAUGAGGACAUGUGGGAGCAGCUGAUGAAGAUUUCUGUGCAAAGAGUAGUCCACACAAAGAGAAUCAUAAUUGUGAAGGAAGUGGGGUGGGAUUGUGAUUAUGGAAGGUGCAGGUUUCAGGUAGAAGGGAGGUAGAUGAAGGAAUUUAAGUUUAUAUACAUUGAGAUGUAACUCAACAUUCAGGCAGAGCUAUUAUUAGGUAGAUGGACUUUUGAAUUUGGAAGUCAGAGGAGAUACACAUUUGGGAUUUAUCAACUUAUUAUUGAUAUUCAAUUGUAAAUACCUGAUGGAAUAGCUAAGGGAGGCAAUCUACAUGCAGAAGAGGAGAGUGAAGCACUGAGCCCUGGGAUAUUCCUACACUGACAAGUAGGAUUGUAAAGAAGCGAGCAGUGAGUGGCCUAGGACAAAGGAGGAAAACCAGAGUGUGUAUGGCGUACUUCUAGCAAGGGAGAGAAAGUUUUCAAGGAGAGGCAAUGAUCACUGUGGCAAAUCCUGCUGGUGGGCCAAGAAGAUGAGAACCCAGAAUUGACCAAGAAGGGCACACUAUAUACUCAAUAUGCACAUACAUAUAUAUAUAUAUAUAUAUAUAUAUAUCUUUAAAUCUAUUUGUUUUCUUGUGUAUUGCCUGCUCCCCUCCCAGAAUGUAAGUUCCCUGGUGACUUGGGAUAGUGGGUCUGCUUUUCAUCAUUUUACCACCAGGACCUACCUGGGAGUUGGGUCAUAGUGAACAUUCAAUAAAUAUUUGGUAUUGCAAGAAUUCAAGGGUUAUUAUCCUAGCAUUUUUAGUAAUUCUGAACAUUAUGGAUAGGAAAACAGUCCUGGGUCAAUCUGUAAGGACACUGUCCCAUCUUUAAACAUAGUAUAAUAAAAUGGCAAAUGUUAAGGACUGGCCCAGACCAGCUUCUCAUAUAGUUUAGUGAUUUUAUUUAUGCAACAAUUUUUUAUUGCGUGCCCAUUAUGUUCCAGGCACUGCACUAG